ensembl:lncRNA
CACAGUUUAAGUACAACUUUUAUUAAUACUGGAAUCAUCACAGUGCGUUUUGUUACAUUAGCAGUGACUAAACUUAACAAAAAAGGAUCAAUUUUACAAAAAGGAAGACAGAAAAGAAAACUUUACCUUCAGCGACAAAGGCAAAACAACCUUGGAAAUCAAUUCACAAUAAAUUAAAGAAUAAGAGCAUAAGAGGGGGAGAGAAAGAAGAAAGACAAGAGCACAGAACCUGCAGGGCUACUCAGGAGGGAAGAGAGGAGCAGAAGAUUGUACAGUUUGUACAGAGAGAUGAAACAAGUGUUGACUCUGUCACAAUGUUAUUCUGUGAACAUAAUAGCCCCAUAGAAAAUGCCUCUGUGGUAAGUCUUGAAGAGAUUUCGUUGUGGAGUUCAGAUGCUGGCUGUCGAGAAAGAAGAUGAGAGCAAUCGAGCGCUACCAAGAAGUGGAGUAUAGACAGUAAGACAUUCAAUCUCGUUUCAGUGACAGUGGCACCAGGAGGCCACUUCGGCCACUCUGUUCAGCAUGGUUGUAUGACAGGAAGUUGCAAUGUGUUACAUCAGUGAACUCUCAUGUGGCUUCUGAGAAUCUACCUUGGUCAUAUUUGCUUUGGAUGAGCGUGUGGACGUGUGUGUGUAUUGUGAAUGUGUAGUGGAUUCCUUCAGUAUUAGACAGCAGGAAGGAUUGACAGAUUGUGUGUGGGAGGAGGGAGGAGGAACAGUAGGGGUCUUAACCACGUGUCUUUGUGCACACAUGCUCACACAAAUACACACACACACACAAGGACAUAAUUCAAUAUAACUUGGGCAGAUGGCUAAAAGAGUGGGUUGUAUAAGCAGCAAAUUCAUGAUUCUUCUUUUGGUCUGAUCAUAAAUACAAAACAACCUGUCCUUCAAUGGCCAGCACUUUAAUUUUCCCUGGAUUAAUUUUGAUUAUUUUUAAAAGCCGACAUUCAAAAAUCUUAUUUAGGACAUUUUGAAAGUUUGUGAUAUAUAUAUAUAUAUAUAUAUAUAUAUAUAUAUA